AUUGAACGCUGGCGGCAGGCCUAACACAUGCAAGUCGAGCGGAUGAAGGGAGCUUGCUCCUGGAUUCAGCGGCGGACGGGUGAGUAAUGCCUAGGAAUCUGCCUGGUAGUGGGGGAUAACGUCCGGAAACGGGCGCUAAUACCGCAUACGUCCUGAGGGAGAAAGUGGGGGAUCUUCGGACCUCACGCUAUCAGAUGAGCCUAGGUCGGAUCAGCUAGUUGGUGGGGUAAAGGCCUACCAAGGCGACGAUCCGUAACUGGUCUGAGAGGAUGAUCAGUCACACUGGAACUGAGACACGGUCCAGACUCCUACGGGAGGCAGCAGUGGGGAAUAUUGGACAAAGGGCGAAAGCCUGAUCCAGCCAUGCCGCGUGUGUGAAGAAGGUCUUCGGAUUGUAAAGCACUUUAAGUUGGGAGGAAGGGCAGUAAGUUAAUACCUUGCUGUUUUGACGUUACCAACAGAAUAAGCACCGGCUAACUUCGUG
rnacentral:rRNA from 1 species